GAUGAACGCUGGCGGCGUGCCUAAUACAUGCAAGUCGAGCGAACAGAUGAGGAGCUUGCUCCUCUGACGUUAGCGGCGGACGGGUGAGUAACACGUGGAUAACCUACCUAUAAGACUGGGAUAACUUCGGGAAACCGGAGCUAAUACCGGAUAAUAUAUUGAACCGCAUGGUUCAAUAGUGAAAGACGGUUUUGCUGUCACUUAUAGAUGGAUCCGGGCGGCAUUAGCUAGUUGGUAAGGUAACGGCUUACCAAGGCAACGAUGCGUAGCCGACCUGAGAGGGUGAUCGGCCACCCUGGAACUGGGACACGGUCCAGACUCCUACGGGAGGCAGCAGUAGGGAAUCUUCCGCAAUGGGCGAAAGCCUGACGGAACAACGCCGCGUGAGUGAUGAAGGUCUUCGGAUCGUAAAACUCUGUUAUUGGGGAAGAACAAAUGUGUAAGUAACUAUGCACGUCUUGACGGUACCUAAUCAGAAAGCCACGGCUAACUACGUG
rnacentral:rRNA from 1 species